rnacentral:rRNA from 1 species
ACCCGCUGAACUUAAGCAUAUCAAUAAGCGGAGGAAAGGAAACUAACAAGGAUUCCCCUAGUAACGGCGAGUGAAGCGGGAAGAGCUCAAAUUUGAAAUCUGGUGGCCUCAGGUCAUCCGAGUUGUAAUCUAUAGAAGUGUUUUCCGUGCUGGCCCAUGUACAAGUCCCUUGGAACAGGGCGUCAUAGAGGGUGAGAAUCCCGUCCUUGACAUGGACUACCAGUGCUCUGUGAUACACUCUCAACGAGUCGAGUUGUUUGGGAAUGCAGCUCAAAAUGGGUGGUAAAUUCCAUCUAAAGCUAAAUAUUGGCGAGAGACCGAUAGCGAACAAGUACCGUGAGGGAAAGAUGAAAAGCACUUUGGAAAGAGAGUUAAACAGUAUGUGAAAUUGUUGAAAGGGAAACGAUUGAAGUCAGUCGUGCUCAAUGGAUUCAGCUGGUUCUGCCAGUGUACUUCCAUUGAGUGGGGUCAACAUCAGUUUUGAUCGCUGGAUAAAGGUUGGAGGAAUGUAGCACCCCUGGGUGAACUUAUAGCCUCCUGUCACAUACAGUGGUUGGGACUGAGGAACGCAGCAUGCCUUUAUGGCCGGGAUUCGUCCACGUACAUGCUUAGGAUGUUGACAUAAUGGCUUUAAACGACCCGUCUUGAAACACGG